UCAUCCAGAAUGAACGAAUUUUUGAGAAACCACUUACCUGUUGAGUUUGACGUCAAUGAAUACGAGGUCGUCAUCUACAAAUCCAACAACGAAAUUGUGAUACCUAAACCGAAUGAAGAAUUCGAGGAGUACAUGGAUGACUUGCAUCAGAUCAGGAUCGCAGCCAAAAGUGUGGUUCAUUCUCGCGCGGCAGAAAAACACAUUGGGAAUGUAAAGCUUAAAUAGAUGGAUGGAGAAGCUCGCUAAUUAAAUAUUUAAUAGAUUAACCCUUAAUUGGUGGUAACAUGCAAUCCCUUGUUUGCACUGCAAAUUACAAAUGGUAAUUCAUAAUUUUUUAUCCAUAUUAUGUAAUUGAAAGUAUGUUUGUUGAGCAUUUGUUCUAAAUAUUACUUUUACUGCUGCUAGUAUUAUAAACUGACAUUUCCAUUUUAUUUUAUUUUACUUUAUGGUUUGUUCAUUUUUUUAAAAAUAAUAUUAACCGAACAACAAAUAAAAACGUAUGUAUUGCUAUAUUUGUGUGAAGUAAACGUUCUAAAUAGUAGCAGUUGGUUCGUUAGUGAAUAUUUACCUGAAGAUUUUAACCAUCGCGUGAGAAAUUUUGCUAUGAAGGAUCGGUGGUAAUUAAAAUUUACUAAGUAGGGCAUAUACAGUUUUAUAUACACUUUAUAUUAUUUCUAUUUUACUCGAGGGGUGGUAUGCCCCCCCCCCCCUGGAGAGAUGUAUUAACAUAAGUAAUAUUGCUAACGUUAAAUAAAUUUUAAAAAAAAUGUAAAAAAAAAAAAACUAGAAUCAAUCUAUUGUCAAAACAAAAACUCCCACAUAUCUUACAUUUGUUACAAUUUUAAAUCGACAGCUCCGCUAUGGCAACCAAGAAAACAUACUUUGAAAUCACAUGUACAAUAAACAUGUUUCUCUUUUGUUAAAAAAAGUGUACAUUACAUUUUAAUCCAUCGAAUUUGUGUUUAUAUGCGUGUAUGACUGAUAAGAAAUGUGUGGCAUUGACUAAAAUAAUAUAUUAACCAUCAGUCCUCAAAUUGUUUUAUUUUUUUAUUUUUCAAAGUAAAUCAAUUUUUUUUUUUAUAUUUUCACAUUUCUAUUUCCAUUCUUCCAUCUGUGGAAUAUUAGUCUGCUACAUAUAAAAUUUCAUGUUUAUAAAAAGACCAUAUUUGUACACAAUGGUUAAAUAUAAAUGUGUAUGUUGUAUUUGUCAAUCUGAUUAUGAUUACUUGUGGAAAUAAAUUGGGAGUAAGCUGCUCGAAACU